GUGCAGGGAAUGGAGUCAUGCACUUGACAGUUCAAACCAUAUGGAUCUUGGAACCGAGGAUUCCAGACUGGAAGUUAUAGCCAGUCUAGCAAUGAAACCAUCAGAUGCCAGAGUCCCAAGAAGCAAGUCUAGGGAGGGCUUUGAACUGGGAGGUUACAGAGAUGAAUACUACACUGAGAGGAAGAAGUGAACAAGCAUUUCUAUAGGCCCUUCUACAUGUCAGGCACUGUGCUAAGUGCAUGCUGUACAAAUAGGAUCUUAUUUGAUCCUCACCACUACCUUGAGAGGUAGGUACUAUUAUUAGACAUAUUUUACAGUGGAAUAAAUAAGACAAACAGAAAUGAAGGCAUUUGCUUAUUGUCAUAAACUAUGUAGGAACCAAACUAAGCUAGGAAGCUAAUCUCCUUCCCCAGAGAUGAAGAAUUAUAUACAUGUUUGUAGGGUAUUUUCCUUGAGGUGUGUUAUGAGAUAGGCAAAAAUGUUUCCUCUCACUCCACCAUUUUGAUUCUGCCUUCCUUGGAACUUCUCAGGCACCUCUUUAUCCACUAUUUCAGUUCUUCAGAGGCUGUUGUGUUUCAUGUCUCAAUCAUUUGACUACACUAGAUAACUAGCAAGAUUGAAAAGCUGAGCCUUUGUUCCUGGGAAAAGCUUGGGGUCAUAAGAGGAGCUGUGUAAAUUCUGUAACGAAAUUUUGACUCCUUUCCUCCCCCGUUUAGUUCUGGCCCCAACCUACUAUCCAUUUGUUCCUGUGUCCCAGAUAUAUAUUACUCAUAGGCAAGCUCUUUUGAUUGUCCAGCCAAUUUCAUUUCAUAAUCUUGACAAUGGAUAUUUAUCCACAUGGUCUCUCCUAUGUGUUUAGUCAGGCCAAACGAAACAUUUUGAGUGGUUAUGAAUCUCUUUCAGGAGGCCCAGCAGUGGUCUGUGGUUGAAUGCAACCAGUACAAUGUUACCUGCAAAUAGGAGCACCUGGAGAACCUCAUCCGCUGGUUGGAAGAGAUCCUAAUUUAAGGAAUGAUCCUGAUGAACUGGCAAGCAUCCAAUGGAGGUUCCUGUCUGAUGAGGAUCACCUGCAGGAGAGAGACUGUCCUUCUACACUCACCCAGGAUGCCAAUGAACUGAGACACCCACCCCCAUGCUGCGCUUCCAACCUUUCUCUUUGCUCACACUCUGGAGAAAGCAUUUACAUUCCUUUGCAUCAACUCUUGAUGAUUGUUUCCUAAAGAAUCUUUGGGUUCCCAUCAGAUUCCUUUACAAAGACUUGCUAAGGUGAGAAAUCCAAAUGGGAGCUUCUGGAAGUGAAAGACUUGCUUGAAACAUUCAGAGAUGAUGCAGAGGACUUUGGAGCUGCAGCACUGCUGCGAUUUUUCUGGGAAGAAUUUAGAAGUUUCUGACUGCUGCCUAGCAGUGACAACUUUGAGGACUUUUCCUAGGAUCAAGAGGAAGGUUGCACACUUCUAGCAAGAAACCUGCCUUCUGCAUCUUGGCCACUCCUCCAUUGACUUUCUGAUGCUGUCUAGUCCAACCCCUUUAGUUUACAGGAAGGAAACUGAGGCCUCAGGAGGCUAAGCAGUCACACAGGUAGGAAGUAUCAGAAGCUGGAAGAUGCUAGAAAGAGGUUGUUCAGUUUUACAAACACUGCUGGCAUUGCAUCACAUACCCCAAAUGGCAUGACAUCCACAUAGAACUGUGCUCCACAAAUGUGAUACCAGGGGGACAGAGGCCCCAGGGAUGUCUACAUUGGCUUGAUGAUUUUGUGAGGCCUCAGGGAUAGAGGAUGCCAUUGACCGUUGCAUGGCCCAGUUUGCUCUCUGAAUGAUGGAAUCACUGGAAGAAAGCAGUGAUCAAGGUGGAGUAUAGGGCAGAGAUGAUGCCACACAUGGAUAAGUUUGUGGCCCCAUUCUUGACCCAUACUCAUAGUCAAAGAACUACCAUAGGAAAUAUUGUUUCAUUAGAAGUUUGAUCUAUUGAGGUUAGGGGUGGUGCAUUGGAAGCAAUGGAGAUUGGGAGACAAACAUGGGAUUUGAACCGGAGUUCAAAUUCUGCUCCCUAAUUACUUGCUAGCUAUGUGACCUUGGAUAAGAUGGAGCUUCACUUUCCUCAUUUGUGAAAUGAAGAAUGUGGCCUAAGACCAUUUUCAUCACUAAAGCUAUAAUACUGUAUUCACCGACUUACAUGAUUUAGACAAGAUUUAGGCAAGGUCUGAGACCAUUUUGAAGAAAU
rnacentral:lncRNA from 1 species